rnacentral:rRNA from 1 species
AUUGAACGCUGGCGGCAGGCCUAACACAUGCAAGUCGAACGAGUGGCGGACGGGUGAGUAAUGUCUGGGAAACUGCCCGAUGGAGGGGGAUAACUACUGGAAACGGUAGCUAAUACCGCAUACCAUCGGAUGUGCCCCGAUGGGAUUAGCUAGUAGGUGGGGUAACGGCUCACCUAGGCGACGAUCCCUAGCUGGUCUGAGAGGAUGGCCAGCCCAACUGGAACUGAGACACGGUCCAGACGCCUACGGUAGGCAGCAGUGGGGAAUAUUGCAAAAGGGGCGCAAGCCUGAUGCAGCCAUGCCGCUGUUAUGAAGAAGGCCUUCGGGUUGUAAAGUACUUUCAGCGAGGAGGCGUUACUCUCAGAAGGAGCACCGGCUAACUCCGUGCCAGCAGCCGCGGUAAUAC